GCCGCGCCUGCGCCUUGGGUUCUCCUGACGCGGCCCAUCCGGACCCUGAGGAGCCAGUGGGCUGCAGGCGCAGGCGCAGGCGCAGGCACAGGCGAGGGGUUGGGUGGCGGUUGAGACAGCGGCGGUACUGGGAUGGGUAGGUGAGGAUCCCGAGACUGAGUGAGCUUCUGCGCGCGGUGCUUUUGGGAACGCGGGACUGGCAACCUGCGGCGCCAGGAGCUGGGCCGAGGCGCGGCGGCGCGGCUGCGGGCCGCCGUCUGGAUGGGAAGUUACGGCGAAGUCCACCCAGCGUUUCUCAGGCAAUCUGAAGGCAAAUCCUGUUUAGACCCAGGCGAAGGUUCCUGGUGACCCAGGCUCUCACCAGCCAAUUGUCCCUUGCCGUCCUCCUGAGGGUAUCUGGAGCUUCAGUGCUGUGUGCUCUUGGCCUCCACACUGGGGAUGCCACUGACUCCCACUGUCCAGGGCUUCCAGUGGACUCUCCGAGGCCCUGAUGUAGAAACUUCCCCAUUCGGUGCACCAAGAGCAGCCUCACAUGGUGUGGGCCGACAUCAAGAGCUGCGAGAUCCAACAGUGUCCACAGAUCAGAAGUUCAGGCCUGGAUUCGCUGGGUCUUCUUCUCAGGGCCUCACAGGCUGAAAUUAGGCUGGGUUUCUUUCUGGAGGUUCUGGGGAAGAACAUCCUCUCAAGUUUCCUCAGGUUGUCAGCUGAGUUCAGUUCCUUGUGACUGUAGGACUGAGAUCUCUGUUUUCUUGCUGGCUGUCAGCCAGGGGCCUCUCGCUGCUCCUAGAGGCCUCCCAUGUUCCCACUGCAUGCUUCCUCCAGCCAGCAGAGGAGGAUCGCCCUGCAUGGAAACCCUCCUGCACUUCACAUCUCUCCAGGAAGUCCUCAGUCCCUCCAAGGAACUCACCUUCACUAGGUCAAGCUCAUCAGAUAAUCUGUCUAUCUUAAAUUUGACCGAUUUGGGAUCUCGAUUACAUCUGUUAACUUGUUUUUGCCAUAAAUUGUAACACAAUCGCAGGAGUGACAUCUCCUCAGUGGCUUUGUCUACACUCAGGAAGAAGUGAUUAUAUAAGAGCAAAGAUCACUGAGGGUCAUCUUAGGAUUCUGUCUACCAUAAUAUUAUAAAGACACAGUAAUUAAAAGAGUAU
rnacentral:lncRNA from 1 species